rnacentral:rRNA from 1 species
UACGAAGGGUGCUAGCGUUGUUCGGAAUCACUGGGCGUAAAGCGUGCGUAGGCGGCCUUGCAAGCCAGAGGUGAAAGCCUGGAGCUUAACUCCAGAAUUGCCUUUGGAACUGCAUCGCUAGAGUGUCGGAGGGGAUAGCGGAAUUUCUAAUGUAGCGGUGAAAUGCGUAGAUAUUAGAAGGAACACCGGUGGCGAAGGCGGCUAUCUGGACGACAACUGACGCUGAGGCACGAAAGCGUGGGGAUCAAACAGG